GCCACCUACCGCCUCUGCCUCCCGACUGGAUGGAGUUGCCUUUCCUGUAGCCAUCGCCGGUAGACUCCAGAGCCCUGUGGUGUUGGCACUGCCUCCUAUCUAGGGAGCAUCCCAGACCCAGCCUGGGGCUCUGACUCAGCUCUGACUCAGGCCCAGGCCUCAUGACUCCAGACUCCUUCUGCUGCUUCCUGCAUGGCUGGUCUGGAUGCACGUUCAGUGUGUGUGGAAAAUGCGGUGAUGGCCACUUGAACACACAGAGGUCAGCAGCCUGCAGGGCCCCCUGGGGACCCUACAGUCCGGUACUGGGCUUUGGUCCUAACUCUCCUCAGCCACCGGAGGGCACCCCGAAGAUCCACUUAGGAAUCGGCUUUUGCCAUUCACCACUGAGCAUCUCAAGGAAGAGAAUUUGAGGGUCAGGUUCUUCAGUACUUCUCCUUUCUGGGCAGCUGCAGACAGCAAUGGAGAACAAAAGUAGAAUCCAGUCUUGGUGCGUAUAAAAGCUUCUUUUCAGGUGUCUCAGAGGAGCAUCUCCUUAGUAGGAGAGAGAACGCUGACCUAAGGAGCUGGCGUGGUGCUUUGGCUGCAACAGUGCACCGUGACUGAGGGAAGCCCAUCAAACCCUAAGGAGAUUUGGCUCACCUUUUGCAUUUCAACUGACCAAAUCAGUCCUUUGAGGGAGAGGGGAUGGAAACGGGUUUUUGAAUUACAUUAGCUACCUCUAGCAUUUGCUCCUCAGAAUUACCUGGUGACAGCGCAGUGCCACAGCGUGCAUCAGGAUGUCCAGAGAGGCCUGGCACCCAGCGUGCCACUGCUCAGGGUGGCAGAGCCUUUAGGAGUCACAGGGCAGGAGCCCUCAGAGGGCUGUGGGUCCGGUCCUCCCUCUCACUGGGCCUCCUGGCCCCAGCACCCUGACUGCUUGGCUGGGAGACACUGGUUUGUGCCCCUGUGAUGUGUACAUCACAUGACCAAAUGCACCAGAGCUGGGCCACACAUGGGAUUUGUGAACAGAUCAGAUGGCAUUGGAAGCUCCCAGAAACAGCAAACCUCCAAGUACUUUGCAAAGGGCUCACGCUAUGCAAUCAGUCCGAGGCUGGUGGAACAGCGCAGCGCUGCAGUCCUGUGCUGAAUGUGCUAAGUGGUCAGCAGGCCAUGCAGGGCGCCCGAGGCUUCCCCCACCUGCAGCUCUGCUCCACCGGGCCCUGCCACCGUGAAGACUGCGCUGGAGCCAGUGGGCUGUGGACGGGACCCUCUGAAACUGUGAGCACAAGAACCCUCUCCUUGCAGGGUGGUGUCACUUCUGGUCCCAUGGCACAAACCCUGACCAGUACACGGGUGACUGAAAUGUCCCAGGUGCUGCUUAAAAACUCCAAGUACAUUUCAUGGGGAAACCAUGCAGCACAAGUGUUUUGUUUCGAGGAGAUUGAAGGGCGGGAGGAGAAGUGGACCGAGCGGGCUGACUGUCCAGUGCAGACAGGAGAAAUUGGCCCGGACAGGCCACGGCCAGGGCUCUGCUUCCUGCUCUCUGCUUACCAAGGGCAGGAGGAGACAGGCGCAUGCUGA
rnacentral:lncRNA from 1 species